CUCUGAACAAUCUUUCGCCGCACGACGGUUUCCAUCUCACCUUUGUUUACCGGCGAUUGUAAGAAGUCGGCAACGGUCGUGUUCGUCAAGAUGGGAGGUGGAGGGUUGGCGUUCGGUGCGAAAG
rnacentral:lncRNA from 1 species